UACGUAGGGUGCGAGCGUUGUCCGGAAUUACUGGGCGUAAAGAGCUCGUAGGUGGUUUGUCGCGUUGUUCGUGAAAACUCACAGCUUAACUGUGGGCGUGCGGGCGAUACGGGCAGACUGGAGUACUGCAGGGGAGACUGGAAUUCCUGGUGUAGCGGUGGAAUGCGCAGAGUAUCAGGAGGAACACCGGUGGCGAAGGCGGGGUCUCUGGGCAGUAACUGACGCUGGAGGAGCGAAAGCGUGGGGAGCGAACAGG
rnacentral:rRNA from 1 species